rnacentral:lncRNA from 1 species
AAAUGUUAAAAUUCAUCUAAUUUUCGUUUCAUAUGAAGUAAUGCCCCUUUGAUUACCAAAAUUAUUAAAAAAAAAAUUCUUUUACCAUAAAUUAUAAGUGUAAACACAAUAAAAAAUCUGUUGAAAUAAUCUCAAUAGGUAUGCCAACAUCAUCAUCAUCAUCAUUUUUCAUCUCAUUUUGCAUGCUUAAUAGAUUGUAUGGGUCUUCUCCAACAUAGUAUCUCUCCACUUUCGUCAUCUCAUUUAUGAGGUUCAGUCUCCUAAGAUUGACCUUCACUACUACUUCAUGUGUCUUCCUUGGUCUUCCUUUUCCACAGGUUCAUUUCACUUGACACUUCUUUAUGCAAGUGUAUCAUGUCCUCCCUGAAUCAGUUUUCUGUCUGGUACACUAAAUCUAAUUCUUCUUGUACCAUGUUUUUUUUCUUAUUUUUUUUUUGUUCUAAGCUUAUUUGUGCUUCAUCUUUCAUAUACACUAACAUUACACAUUUAAUGGAGUGUAUUCACCUCAUUUUUUUCCCUUUUUGGCAGCCUUCAUUCAUUUUUUUUACACUCUCUGCUCAUAUUUUAUUAUAAUCAUCAUAAAUGCAAGUCUACUUUUCCAUGCUGGCAUGAGUUGUGUGGUUUUACUGGGACAAUGUUUUAUGGCUGGAUGCCCUGUCUGUUAUCCUACAGACCCUACAGCAUCUCUUGUCCACUCAUAGUUUAAAUGGGUAGAUUAUACGGUAUCUUACCUAAUCUUUUUCUAUAUAUUGAGUAUGGACACUUCCAGCCAACUAUGACUUUUGUUUUUUCUGAGUUUAUUUUAAGAUUUCUUGAUUCUAGGCUUUGUUUCCAUAUUUGGAAUUUCUUCUCUAAUCCUUUGACAGAUUCAGCUAUGAGAACUCAGUCAUUGGCAUACAGAAGUUCCUUAUGUAUUGCCUGUCUUUAACUUGUCUGUUAUUGUCUUGGGAACAAUAAUAAACAAGAUAGGGUUGAGAACCAAGCUCUGAUGGUCACCCAUCUGAAUGCUAAAUUCCUUGUUGAACUUAUUACUAACUCUAACUUUGCAAAUAGUAUCUUUUUACAUGGGUUUCCCAAGCCAUUCAUCAAUUCUUAGUGACCACCAGACACACAAUAUGGUAUCCUAAUACACACUGACAUUACUUUGUUGUCUGGAACAUCUCAUACUUCUAUUCUUUAAAUCAUAGAACACUGGGAAACCUCUUACUUUCUGCUUCUUUUGCUAAGUUUACCUAACAACUAAUAUCAUUUGCUACCUACAUCAUAUUGGUCCUUCCUCUCCUUUUCUUCCAAGUCUAUCUUGUGGUUUUUAUGGUCCUACCAUACCAAUCCACUACCAUAUCAUCUUCCAUCUAGCUGGAACCAGAUCUGGUCUGUGGUUUGCAAAAAGUUUUCUUUGAGAAAAUCUGAUUAUUUUUAUUAUGUUAUAGGUUUGUAUCUUCUUGACGUAUGCACCACCAUGUACUUCUAUGAAUGUAUUGUUUCGAUAUUUUCCUUCUCCAAAUUAUUUUGUGUCUCUGGAUCUGUUUUACUCUGAUACCAUAAAUCACUGUCCCAUAUUGAGUGGUAAUUCUUCAUCAGUAAAAGACUUGCUCUUUAUGACCGUCUGUCUAUCUUAUUUCCUUGGUGCAUCUGAUUUAUGCCUUCAUUUAAGUGUUAGCAAUCAGGUUGAUGGGCUAUCUCCUGAGAGUUUGUUCUACAAACGUUUAAGUCAUUUUGCAUCAUAGAACUUCAAGAACCUUAAUCCCUCUCCCCGACCAUGUACAUUGAAGAAUUCAUCGCGAUGUUGUUCCUUUAGCACCUGAUAGUAAGAGAGUGAUCUCUGCUGAUGUUUCGGUAAUUUACCUAUUAUUCUUUCAACAAAGCAUCACAUAAACAAUUAUUAAUCAAAUUUAGUAAAACAAAUAUUACUCGAAUUUUGUACCAGAGACUACAAUGGUUGGUCCAAUAAACACGCAGAAAACAAACAUUAACCAUAGUGUUCAAAUGUGUGAUUAAAGGGAGUUAAAUCAGCUCUUUUUUGUGAGUUAUCUACCUUGGAUAUUAGCUCUUUUUUUUUUAUAUUAUUCCUUAUACUCACAACGGUUUAAGUAGUAAUAACUUUUUAUACAAGCUUUGCUCUUGGCAGGUAUUCAGGAGGAAAGGUAACGUAAUGUUAAAAAUUGCUUUUCUAUUGAUUUUAGUAAGUUAAUUGAUAACUGAUAUUAAUAUACCAAUAAUUUAUGUCUUUAAAAAAAGGAAACGUCACAUUAUUAGAUAUUAAUUAAUAAAUUUUUUCCCCUCGAUUAUCCCAAAUGUCUUCUAAAUGGCUUUUAUAUUGGGCAUAACUAUAUUUCGAUGCCCCUCGCCUUGACUUUGUUUAUUUUUUACAUACACGCACGCAUAUAUAUAUAUAUUUAUAUAUAUAUACACACACACACACACACACAAUUAAUUACACAAGCCCAUGCCCCCACACACACAUGUACACACCCCUCAUUUUAAGUAUUAGGUAAUUGUUUUAUUUAUUCACUAUAUUUUAUUUCACAUAAAUACAUGUUACAUACACACAUAUAUACACCAUAUUAUAAUAGAAAAACCUAAAGCAUAAAUUUGUCAUUUCUUUUAUUUCACAUCUAUUACAUUGGUAAUUGGUGAUGACAAAUUAUAAAUGUUGUUUCCAAAGUGCAUUCAAUAAGAUUGAACACACUUUAUAAAUCACAUUUAUAAUUUACCAUCAUUGAUUAUCCAUCACAGGAAUGCAUGAAAUAAAAGAAAUAGAAAAUUCAUGCUUGAUGUUUUUCUGCCAUACUAGAUGUGCUCUUCAUAUAAUGUAAUAAUAGUUCUAUAAUGGUGGCAUAGAACUUAACUGGGUUGUGCAGUUAAGUUCUAUUAAGAGCCACAAACAGUACAGUAAUUUUUUGCACACUUAGCACAUCCAUUUCCACUUAUAUGUAUAUAUUUCUGCGUAACAGAAACUUGAUAAAUGAGAGUCAAUGAAAUGUUAUUUAUGAAUUGGGGCUGAAUUUUGCAUUUCUUCUGUACCAAAGUGUUUAUUUUCUUGUUAAGGCACAAAAUCUCUUUGUAUUAACUAUUUGUGUGUAUUCAAGAGAAAGCGAGAGAGAGGAGCAGGGACAAGCAUAACAUGCUCUCCCUGUUUUCUCAUUUUAUUUUCCUUUCAAGUUUAAAAACUCUCCUAGGCCUUUUUUUUUUUUUAUUCAUUGUUAUUGUUGAUAUUUAGACAGAAGAAAUUGGAAAGCCCUAUUUGUUAUAUAGAAUUAUGAUUUGUAGCAAAGUUAUACACUGCACUCAUUGACAGCUUUAUAGCUUUUACACAGUUAAACAGGGGACUAUAACAAUUAUACAAGCAGAGUUAACAACAUUAUUACACAAGCAGAAAUAUAUAUUAUUGCAAUAUAUAUUAUUACACAAACAUGAAUAACAAAAGAGUCGCACAAACACUGACAUUAUACACAUGUAAUGCACAAAAAUAUGUAUAUGGUAACAAAAAAGUCUGUCUGACUUUGCAUGAUGUUUUUACGCUUAGAUCAGUUUUUCUCUCAUUUAACAUGCAUUAAAAUAUUUUUGAAAUUAUAUUGCUUUCUCCCUUUCCCCUCCAAAUGUGGCCAUUUUUCUCAGAAUGUUUUUAAUUUGAAAAUAUAUCCUACAUAGGUUUUUUUUCUGUUUUUGUUUUAAUGAUUUGUGAAAUUGUUUAUUACAAUGAAAUAUAUUUUACAGGUCUAAGAUAAAUUUAACAUAUCUAGAUCUAGUCUUAGUUACUAACUGUGGGAAGUAGCAGGUUUUCUGCAACCUCCUGCCUGAGGUUCAAACCUAGAAGGUUUAAUCUUUUGUGAUAGUCCCUUUUUUUCUUUUCAUUUUUAAUAUUUUGUUUUGUUCCUUUUCUAACACGAAAUAUAUAUUUUAAUUGUUUGUGUAAACUCUACAAAUUUUCAUAUUUGAACUUUAACGAAAAAUAGCAACUAUAAUAUCGAUUGUUAAUUUAUUUACAUUUUAAUUUUAUUUAUAUUUUGUAAAGAAUGUAAUCAUAAACAAAAUAUUGUUUGAUCUCUUUUUUGUAGAGGAAAAAAUGUAAAACCAACACAACAAUGAUAAUAGUAAUAAAACCAAACAAUUAACAAUAAAUAAAUGAAUAAAGUUACUUAAUUAAUGGGAUAUUACUACUCUGUAUAUCCAGAGUAAGUAUUUCAUUUAUUGGGUAACUUACUUUGCAUAAUUAUAUUGUAUAUUUUGCUAUAUUUUCUUCUGUUGUGACAAUGUCUUUGAUCUAAGGCAAAGAUGGUUAUUGAAUAAUCAUCAGCUAUAAUUGAGUAUUUUGUGUUUGUGAUAUUACUGUUGGUUUUUAGAAAAAAAAAAAUCCCUGGUCACAGGCCAAGAGCUUCGGAAUUUGUAACAGUUCCAUGAACUGUCAUUAGCGAUGACAUUUUUUUUAACAAGCAUAUAAUGAAUCAACCAUUAAUGAAUUAAAAAUUUGAGAAUAAUUUCUUCUCUAAA